ensembl:lncRNA
CUCAUCUUAAAGUGGAGCGCAAAAGUAUAAAAGAGGUCAUAGCGUGCAGGGUCACUCAUUCGAUCACUUCACACCGUGACAGCAAGGAGACGACAACAUGGACGGUCUGCAGGUGAGCAUUGCAUGUCUGCUGGUGAAGAUGACCUUUGUACAAGGGGUUGCAGGGAGCUGUCCCACCUGUGCACCAGGUUUCUUCCUAGUGAAGAACUGCUCCAAGACUGUAGGGAUCGGGUGCAAAGACUGUACUGAUUGCUCGGCUUUACAUCGGGACACUCUAUCUGAGUGCACGCAGUGGACUGAUGCUGUGUGCGGGAACCAAACUGUGACCACGGUGACAGUCACCACGGUGACCACUGCUGGACCUCCUGUCUUCCCUGGUGAAAUGUGGAUCAUCCUAAGUGUGAUAUCAGUGUCUGUGUUCCUGGUUCUGGUGCUCGCUCUGGUUCUCUCAAUGCUAUCCCAGCGGUACAAGCAAAAGAAAGCUUUGUACCUGCCCUGAAUGAAAGCAAGUCAUUCUGAAUGCCUCUCAGCACCAACGUCUUAGGGACAAGCCACUGUCCAUGAUGGCCAAAGCAGCAGAUCCAGCUCUCAGAAACCAGAAACGUGGAGUCCAGGUCCAGGGCAGGUUUAGAGUCCAGGUCCUGGGUGGAUUAAAGACCAGGUCCAGGCCGGGCUCAUGAGUCCAGGUCCAGGUCGAGCUCAUCAUUCCAGGUCCUGAGUGGAUCAGAGUCCAGGUCCUGGGUGGGAUUAAAGUCCAGGUCCUGUCCGGGGUCAGAGUCCACCUGUAGACUGGUUUGAUCCACCCAUUAUACUUCACAUCGAGGCCACCCUAUAAGAAUACAAAUGUAGACCAGGUGUAGACUAGGUGUAGUUCAGGUGUGAAGUAAGGUUAGAUUCCAGGUGUAAGACAGGUGUAGACUAGUUGUAGCCAGAUGUGGCGUAACUGUAGACUAGACGUAGUCCAAGUCCUAGGAAGAAUUUAAUUUCAGGUGAAGUCUGGGUCCACUUCAUUAACACGUAGCCCAGGUGUAGCUCAGAUGUAGCUCACACAUAGACCAGGUGUAGCUCAGGUGUAGAGAAAGUGCAGCUCGGAUGUAGCUCACACAUAGACCAGGUGUAGCUCAGGUGUAGAGAAAGUGCAGCUCGGAUGUAGCUCACACAUAGACCAGGUGUAGCUCAGGUGUAGAGAAAGUGUAGCUCGGGUGUAGCUCACACAUAGACCAGGUGUAGCUCAGGUGUAGAGAAAGUGCAGCUCGGGUGUAGCUCACACAUAGACCAGGUGUAGCUCAGGUGUAGAGAAAGUGCAGCUCGGGUGUAGCUCACACAUAGACCAGGUGUAGCUCAGGUGUAGAGAAAGUGCAGCUCGGGUGUAGCUCACACAUAGACCAGGUGUAGCUUGGGUCUAUAAAAUAAGUCUGUAAUUUGUCACAGCUCACCCAGAACCCCCCCACCCCCACCCCAGCAUCCUCCCGAUCAGCUGUUUCAUUUCCUAUAUGUCCCAUAAUGCAACUUUACCUCUGCAGAGGCGUCAAACUGAGAGUAACGUGUGUAAAAUCAGUGGAAUGACCUUUAACCCUUUCACUGUGAGUGUGAGAUGUCUGGAUGAGCUAUUUCAGUCAGUAGUGAUGCUUAUUUAUUGAUUCUGGAUCAAUAAAUCUGAUCACCUCUGUAAACUGAACGUGUUGUAAACCUAAAUCUCUUUUAAAUGUUGAAGUCAUUAUGUACUUGUGUGCUCCUGUUUAUUCAGAAAUCUGUGACAGUUUUAUACUUUAAACUUUCUUUGGUACUUCAGGUGUGUAUUAGAUAAUCUGCUGUAUGAACAGAGUGUGUGUUUGUAUCACAUAAUAAACUCUAAACUAAAAACAUAAUGACUCUCGCCAUGGAUUCAUCUGUUUUAUUGUAAGCUAGGAGGUUGUAAUGUCAGGCUCACAGAAGAAGAUUUACUGUUUCCAGGAUUAAUUUACUCCCACAGAUGUAAUAUUAUCUACAGCUACUCUUAGUACCAUUGAUGUUAAGUUAGACUCUUUUUCUCCAAUUGAUCUUUCUGAGUUAACUUCAAUAAUUACUUCCUCCAAACCAUCAACCUGUCUUUUAG